rfam:Smithella sp. D17 contig_128, whole genome shotgun sequence.
GAGGGGAGGCCCCUCGGAGCCGCCAUGCAGGUGGAGGCUUCAAACCACCUUAAGCUGCUGAGGACAAAAGCCUUGGUGGUGAGCGUUAAGGAAAAGGUUCCGCAAGACGGAAUCAGGU